rnacentral:rRNA from 1 species
CGCCAGACUCCUACGGGAGGCAGCAGUGGGGAAUAUUGCACAAUGGGGGAAACCCUGAUGCAGCGACGCCGCGUGAGUGAAGAAGUAUUUCGGUACGUAAAGCUCUAUCAGCAGGGAAGAAAAUGACGGUACCUGAUUAAGAAGCCCCGGCUAACUACGUGCCAGCAGCCGCGGUAAUACGUAGGGGGCAAGCGUUAUCCGGAUUUACUGGGUGUAAAGGGAGCGUAGACGGCAAUGCAAGCCAGAUGUGAAAGCCCGGGGCUCAACCCCGGGACUGCAUUUGGAACUGUGUAGCUGGAGUGUCGGAGAGGCAGGCGGAAUUCCUAGUGUAGCGGUGAAAUGCGUAGAUAUUAGGAGGAACACCAGUGGCGAAGGCGGCCUGCUGGACGAUGACUGACGUUGAGGCUCGAAAGCGUGGGGAGCAAACAGGAUUAGAUACCCUAGUAC